GGACCGAUGAAGUCAGGGUGGAGAUGUCAAAAAAGGGCCUGUACAAGAAACACUCCAUCGAUCACCCCCUCCUUCGGGGAUUUAAUCGAUAUUUGCGUGUUGACUUGGGCAACAAAAAGAGCAAACAAGAGGUAAGUGAAAGAAAAGAUACCUUUAAGUGUCACCCACACACUCACGCUUUCACACAGAAAAAUAAAGAAAUAAAUGUGAAGACAAAUGCUCUUCUGAACUGUGUGCUGCGGUCACAUGUUAACCUGUGUUAUAUUCAGCCCUGCAGAUUUUAAUGUGAAAUGUAUACUUACAGGUGGAAGAAGUCUCCAGGUUCAUGUAUUACGUGGACCCCAGUGAGCCGAACCUGAAUUUUGUGCGGGAGGUGGAGAAAGUGCGAGAGUACUUCAAUACACUGACCCAGACAAAGCUCUCGAAGCAGACGGUGCUGAACUACUGGAAGAGUCUCAAGAGGUCAGUACUGUGUAACGUAAACAUCUCAUCUGAAUUUCAACUAAUAUUUAUGGGAUGAUUAUUCGUCUUCUGACUGUAACAACCCUUCCUGUCUCUCUCUUCAAGGUUCAUGAGGUACAUUGUUACCAGCACCAGCAUCCGUGUCAAAGAUCCCAGCCUGUACAACGACUGCAAGAGCUUCACUGAUCCUCUGGAUGGCAUACGGGCUGGGAUGUCUAAGAAGGUCAACAAGGAGCAGACACAAAAAAGGUCAGUUUUUUUUUUUUUUACUCUUUUUUUUUUUUUUUUAAUCUAUUUAAUGGAAAGCACAGGUGAGUUCAAGUUCAACAUUACUAUUUUUUUUUUUUCCCUCAGGUUCCGCGGCUACGGCAAGGAAAAAUUUCCGGCUGACUGCAUCACAAUCUUGGAUGCUGCUUAUACGGAUUUCCUGGCUGUCAUGGGCAAACUUCAGGGUCCAGGAGCCAUUUCAGGGGAGGAACUCAGCAAAAACGAACGUCUGCUUGUCCUCUAUUAUCUUGAGGCCAUAAUUAUGCUUAAACUUCUACAACGCCCAGGGGUUGUUACGAAUAUGACCGUAAGUGUAUUUUAGUAACAACAGCAUCUUUUAUUUUCCUUUACCCAUAUGCCUCCUGAUCUUGUGCUUCACAGAUGCGUGUACCUUUUGAGUGUUUGUGACGCCUGUCAUUGAAAGCACACAACUGUCUGUUUUCAGGUUGAGGAAUGGAAGGGGAGAACCCGGCAUCCAAACGGAGCUUCCGUGGCGGUGAAGGAGCAUAAAACGGCCGCGUCGCAAAUAGCAGAAGUACCGCUGACUGAUGACCAAGAACAUUGGUUUGGCCUGUACUUCGAUGAGAUUCGGCCGGUGAUGUUACAAGGUAAUAAGUCAGUGGACAAUGCAGCAGCAGAGCAGAGUUUUUUUGUUUCAAGUACUGGAAGGCCAAUUUAUAACCCCUGCAACGACUUGAAAAGAUUCCAUGCCAAAUACAACAUUCCCAGGGUGACCAGCAGCGACGCUCGGACAGCCUUUGAGACGGCUGCUAAAAAUCUGCCGGAGGUGCAGAGGAAUGCGGUGGCACGUCUCUUGGGACACACGCCGGAAACAGCAGAGAAGCAUUACCGGAUGAAAACUCCGGCAGAUGCAUUCCUGGCCAAGGUUGUGGUCGAUGAGCUCACUGCAAAAACACGAGGUGCGUCUAGUGGGGCUUCUGGCCAAGAGAAAAGGAUGGAUGAACAGACGGCGUUUGACUUGCUGGUUCAGUCCUGCCCAGUGACUCUUGACGGGCCUCCUCCGAAAAGGGCACGCAGACACGAACUGUGCGCUGAACACGAGAGGCACUGCUACGACCGCUGGCGCAGCGAGCAGCUCAAGCUGCGUGAACAGCGUGUCCUUGAAUAUUUCGGUCGGUGUCAGCUGUCUGAGUCACAAGUGGAGGCCUGGGUGGAGAAACAAGGAUGGACGUCUAACGUCCCACAGGCUUCCCUAAUACUCAAGAAAUACUCCAAGUAGCCUUGAACAGCUCCCCUGCGGCUCUGUGGGUUACAAAAAUAAAUGUGAGCGGGCUACUUCCAAGCCACAUUAUUUUUGUGCCUACUUUUCAGCCACAAAACACCACCUCUCUUGCUCUCCAAGUUGCCCUGAAUGACUCUGUCUCUUUUUUUAGUACUUUACUCAAAGAUAUGUGAGCGGGCUAAUUUCCAAGCCACAUAUCUCUUCUCUUUGUCUACUUUUUUGUUUUCAGCCACAAAACACCACCUCUCUUGCUCUCCAAGUUGCCCUGAAUGACUCUGUCUCUUUUUUUAGUACUUUACUCAAAGAUAUGUGAGCGGGCUAAUUUCCAAGCCACAUAUCUCUUCUCCUUGCCUACUUUUUUGUUUUCAGCCACAAAAAAGUAAAAAAAGACCACCAAUACAGAUUUUUUUUUCUUUCAAUAUUCAUAGGCAACUGGAAGUGCACCAGCUACAAAUAACCAAACAUCAGCAGCUCACUCGAGGACCACUACAUGAGGACUCCAGAGAAGAAGAAGAAGAAGACGAAGACGAAGAAGAAGGAGGAGGAGGAUUUGACAGAGGAAGGCGCACGCUGGAUCCAUACGCUGCAUCUCAUUUCGGAGACUGCGUCCUACGGAGGUCGCAUUUGAAGGCUGCAUACGUCAUCAAGGAUGUCUUAUUUAAGAAAAGUAAACGUAAUUAAACAAACUGUUAUUCCUCGUGAGACGUAAAAUACUAUAAUUUCUUUCUUACUUUGCAAUCUAACAGUUAAUUUUUUUUCAAAUGAGACCGCCUCGAUGACAUAUGCAGCCUUCAAAAGUGACCUCCGGAGGACACAGCCUUCAAAACAAGACAGCUAUAAUCAUUAUAUUCUUAUUCUGUACAUACAGAUGCUAUUAUAAUUUUUUGUUCAUGUUUUCAAUCUACGUUUGUCAUUUCUUCUUUUGUUGUUAAUGAUCUGUAUUUGUCAUUAUUCAAGUCUUAUUUGUUGCACUUUAUUAAUCGUGUACCUGUCAUAGGUAUUCAUGUUUAUAUCAGGCAACCAAAAGUUGCAGAGGUCAGAGUGUCAAAAUGCUCAAAGACAAACUAAUUUUGUUAAAACUCUAAUAGAAAGUUGACAUUUUUAUACUUGUAUUGAUUUUUCAUGUU